GAGUGAGGAAGAGCAAGCAUGUACAUGUGUGGGGGGUAGGGAGGGGCAGAGAGAGACAGAGAACCCCAAGCAGGCUCCAUGCUGGCAGCUCAGAGCCCAACAUGGGGCUCAAUCUCAUGAACCGCGAGCCGAAAUCAAGAGUCGGAUGCUUAAUUGGCUGAGCCACCCAGGCACCCCCCCGCCCCCAAUUUUUUAUAAUAUAGUCUAUUUUUUCUUUAUAAUAGUCUUAGCUUGUGAAUAUAGAAAUUUUUAGAGCCAAAUAUGCAUAGUCACACCCCAAAAUUCAGUGUUAAACACAUCUGCAAAUGAACACUGGGAGGGAAAAUUUAUUUGAAGCCUUUUGGAAAUUCUUCAAGGAAAUGCCUGGAGCUUAAGAAUCAAUGUUAUGAACUCUUUUUAAAACCUCUGGUUAUCUUGAUAACCUCUCGAGUAUGAGAAAUAUUUCUCCUUAUGUAUUUUGGCCUCUAAGCCUUUUAUGAUGGUUAAAAAAUAACUUCACAAACAAAGAUAUCCACAGAGAAAAGGGAGUUACCACUGGCCGUGCAAAAACAGAGAGCUGUCUUUAAAAUGCAAAGCCUUUCUAAUUUUAGUUUUCUCCACACAUUUAACCUCCUUCUGAGAAUAACUUCUUGAAUAUUAAUGGACCUGUACAGUUUAAAAAGGAAAAAGCCAAAAAUCUUUCCAAAAUGACAUGAGGUGCCAAGCAGGACCUGCCCUUAGUAAGGGACAUAUAGACAGGUUUUAAAUACCUUCAUGUUUGGAACGAGUGGAGACUUGUGUGCUGGACAGAGAGCGCUCGAUUUGGAAGAAUGAAGUCCCAGAGGGUGACUGUGUGGACAGAGUGUUUGUGAUAAAAGGAAAUGUAGAAACUGCUCUUGAGGAACAUGGAAUUGGAUGCCUAAGGAGUCUCCAGAGAUGGAGAGGAAUGUGGAUUUGAAGUGAGGACGGGACCUCGAAGAAGCUUUGCUCUUGACCACAGGCUCUGCUUACGUGGACACUGAAAAUGAGGAAAAGCCAAAGACGUGAUGCCAGGGGGAAAGGCCGAGGCUGUGGAAGAAGCCUGCCGGGGAGGUGUGGGAAUGCACCUGUCAGAAGUGGACAGGCAAGGAGACCGCUGUUUUCUGGUUGCCACGGACUGAGUUCCAGCCCAGACUGGGGGUCUUGUCACGGGCGCUAUUUCUCUCUCUCUGUUUUGCAGCCAAUUGUUUUCAAUCCAGAAACAAUUGCCGCAUGGCCAUUUCAAUGCCACGGGGACUUCGGACACUAUCUCUCUAGUUAAAAGGAAAAAAAAAAAAAGGUGCCACAGGAAGAUGUUACAUUCUACGUGCUCCGGACACGGAACAUAAAAAGGGAUUUAUUCUGUUUUCCGUGACAACACCAGAUGCGCGUCAAUUGCGUCCCAUUUGCGGUAUUGGGCAAAGAGUGGAGAAAAGGGAAACCAUGGUCAACAGAGACUUUAAAUGGGGACGCAGAAAGAUAGAAAAGAAUAGGAGGACUCUUUCCAUAUCGCGAGCUUUCUUAAAGUGUGAAGAACUUCCAUAAAAGUUUCUUGUUCCUCGGAAUCUCUGCAAGAGACUGGUUUCACAGACCCUCAAUAAGACAGAGCUCAUUGAACAAUGCCAUGAAUUUGCAAGGAUGAUGGUCUCCUAACCUUAAGAUUACUGAAAUUGCUGCCAUUUGUACUUGCUGUCAAGCAUUCCUCUGAAAGAGAAAGCAAGAAAGAAAAAGGAAGAAAUAACAAAUAGUGAUUUUAAAGAAUCUUUGGGAAAGAAUUAUAUUCAAGGUCUGAGAGCCACGGGAGUCUGAAGAUAAAAGAAAAGAAAAAUGCUGUGGGCAUCCGAAAUGUGACAGUUUGCACAGUCCCGGGGGCAGGGAGCCAAGCCUUUGCUGUUUCGCUGCCAGGGAGUUUAAUAGAAAGACCUGCUCUUUGAUCACUGUGUGGGAUCCUGUGACUGGGGAAGAGCCGGCCCCCUCUCCUGGCGCGGCCAGGGACUCUGUAAAACUCCUGUGUGUGUGUGUUUUUCCACCAGGUGGCAGCAGGAUAUCAGGUUUGUACGCAAAUGGGCAUCGCGGUUUAGAGUAAUGAACGCAUUAAAGGAAAAAUAAAUGCUGCAUCUUGUGAGAGUUUAUAUCAAGAAACACGGCCUUAAGAAAACACAAUCUUCCUCCUUGAAAAUGUUUCUCACUUGCGAGUUGUUGGAACACAGGAGAAGUUUUGUC